rnacentral:rRNA from 1 species
CGUCAAAGGUCAGUUAUAAUAUUCAACAAACUCCCCCAAACAAAUUAGAACCCCACCCCAAUUGCUGGAUAAUUCCAUAUGUCUAUGGAAGUUAUUAUGUUAAAACUAGUAAUAUGAAGAUAUCUUCUCUUGAAUAUGAGCAUAAGUCAGGGUGGACUAUACACUGACAAUUAACAGCUUAAACUAAAGUGAUACCAACCCAAGAAAAUCUCACUAACCCAUCUGUUAACCUAACACAAGAAUAUUUAAAGAAUGACCCAAAGAAAAAGAAGGAACUCGGCAAAAGCUGAUUCCGCCUGUUUACCAAAAACAUCGCCUCCUGAAUAUAAACUAUAGGAGGUCCAGCCUGCCCAGUGACUCUGUUUAACGGCCGCGGUAUCCUAACCGUGCGAAGGUAGCGUAAUCACCUGUUUUUUAAUUAAAGACCUGUAUGAAAGGCAUCACCGAGAAUCACACUGUCUCCUUUUUCAAGUCAGUGAAACUAAUCUCCUCGUGAAAAAGCGAGGAUACCUCUACAAGACGAGAAGACCCUUUGGAGCUUAAGACAAAUAAAUAUCUGCCCACUCACAAUACCCCUACACCCCCCAGCAUUAUAUUUAUAAGUCUUGGGUUGGGGCAACCGCGGAAUAAAAACAAACCUCCAAGCUGAACGGAAAUUUCCUAAACAAAAAGCAACAGCUUUAUGUAUCAACAAACUGACACAAUUUGACCCAAUAUAUUUUGAUUAACGAACUAAGUUACCCAAGGGAUAACAGCGCAAUCCACUUCAAGAGUUCAUAUCGAAAAGUGGGCUUACGACCUCG